UGUGACCGAAUUCACAUCGUAUCUUACCGCCGUUUUAUCUUUAACAAAUUAGGCCUAGAUUAAAGCCUUAACAUGUUUUAAUAUAUUAUUCCACAACUGCCGGAAAGGUUAUGUAUAGCAAAUAAUUAAUUAUCAGGUGGUUUAUGAUUUUAACCUAAAAAUUUCAUCACUAGAAGACGGCCUAGUCGCUAGGCAAAGGAUUAAUUCAAGAUUCAAGAAUAGCCUACUUCAACAACAAACAAACUGGCAUGGAGAAAGAUGACACAACAGUCUUUGUUUGCAACUGCGGAAGACGCUACAGCCAGAGGGGAACGUGGGCCCGCCAUCGGAAGCAUGAGUGCAAUAAACCACCCCAGUAUAUGUGCAAAUUUUGCUCUUACGGUGCUAAACGAAACUCAACUCUUCAAAAACACAUAAAGAGAGCACACAAAGAAAGUCUUCUAGCUGCAAGAGAGAAGGUUACAAAACAAGAGAGUAAACUGUCAUCAAACCACUCAAUCAAAUUGCUGGCUUCACCAAAGGUAGUUCUUCACCGGCUGAGUUCUAAGCUGUUGAUGUCGCAGCUGGAAAAGGAGAGGGAGGUGUCAUCUACAAAAAGUGUUGCUUUGGCUGUUGAUGUACAUGAUGGACAAAGCAGUAAAACUUAACUUAGUUUUGUGUGUUACCAAAGCUAAUCUGGACUCUAUCUACCAGACACAACAGUCUUCGUUUGCAACUGCGGAAGGAGCUACAGCAAGAGGGAAACGUGGGACCGCCAUCGGAAGCAUGAGUGCAACAAACCAGCCCAGUAUAUGUGCAAAUUUUGCUCUUACGCUGCUAAACGGAACACAUCAAGAGAGCACACACAGAAAGUCUUCCAGCUUCUAGGAGAAAUUAUCAUAAUUCUUUUUUCUUUCUUUCAUCCAAUUAAUACAUUAACUAGCCUAUAUGUUUACUUUUGUUAUGAUGAGUGCAGUAAAAAAAAUAUUUGUUGAAAUUAUAUUUAAGUUUGAUUACGUCGCACAUGCUGCUUGCCAGCUACACACCUUAGACUCACCCUCUAGUUAAGGUACGGCACCAUAGACUAAACAUGCUCCUUUAGGAGAUUUCUCAUCGCUAUGGGACAGCUCAAACCAAUUUUAUUGUUGGUUCUCUCCGGUGCAGAUGGUUGCAAUAUAGCCAAAAUUAACCACACAAUGGUCCAUACAUCUAGGAACGUCUUAGGUCUAUUCACUUCCUUUGAGUUCCACCCGGGCUUCGCCCUGUGGAUGUCCAAAAUUUUGAGAUGAGGUUUUCAAAAGUAAAUAUUUUUUGAUCUCAAUGGCAGAAUGAAUAAACUCAUUAUGUUUAUAUUUGCUUUGACAUUUCAAUGUAAACAAGAAGAACUUCCAAUAAUGCUCAUUUCACAAUUUCAGACAGCUGAUCCAAAGAAAUGUAAUAUUUUUUACACAAAUAUGUAGUAGGAUUAUUUAAUCUAAAACUUUAUCAUAGAUUAUUUAUUCUAAACCUGUCAAUGAUUUUGUAACUGAUUUUUCUUCCUAUUGCGAAGCUCGGGUACAGCACCUAGUUUUUUGUUAACAAUAAAAUAAUAGAAAGGAAAUUUUUUUGACACUAGCAAUCAAAAUUUACAAUGGUAUGAGAAUAGUCACUUUGUGUUAUAGUCUAUGAUGGUACCAAAAAAUAAUUUUUUUAUUCAUUCCAAUUUAAGACAAUUUCAACUGAGACUGCGUACACAUUUAUGCGUUUAGACCAGUGCUGAUGUUAUUUUAAGAGUCCAGUAGUUAUGCUAUUUUUUGGUUGUGCAUUGACAUUUAUUGACAAAAUACAAGAUGAUUACAGUACUUUCUUCAUCAAUAUAUUUCUAUAUUGUAUCAUUCUGUUCUUUCUUUUCGUCAUUUUUAGUUUUUUUUUGUACAUAUUUAUGAGUGUUAGUGUGAUAUAAAUUGUUUGUAGAUUUAAGAUAAAGGAAGUUAUUUUAAAUCAAUUUUGAGACGGAUCAAAUUGUGAAAUUUUCCUUUGGUUAAUGCCAAUCUGAGAAAAGCAAUAAAUUGCUGUUAAGUGCUGUGUAUAAGUUAAGACAUUUCCCAUUGGUUUGCAGAAUUGAGCCCGUAAGACUCCAUAGUAUUGGUGUAAUGUGAAUUAUAUUUUGUGUGACUUAUAUUAAGUCAUCCUGCCACUCUUGAUACGAGGCUAAAGCUAUGCUACAAAAGUUUUUUUAGUUUAUUUUACAGCAUAUGGGGCUAAAGUAUCAUAUCACAAUAAAUAUACCUAUUUUUUACAUACGUUAUUUGUUUUCAAAACCUUUUAUAUUCAAUUUCUAGUAAAAAAUAGUAAUUUGUUAGCAAGUUACAACCUUAAGAAAAAUUUUUAUUUAAGGACUUUAGAUUUGAUCUAAGGAGUGUUACUUUUACUUUACAGAUAAGAUUCAAAUUAGGUUUCAGCAAAAAUUAGCAUUUCCUUUCACUGUUAUCGUGAAGAUUAACAUAAGACUAAACAUGUUAGAAUUAACAUAGAAUGAAUAAUUAGUCAAUGAUUAAUCAUGGUAAAGGAUCUGUCUACAUCCACAGAAAACAUACUCAUCCUAUAAUUUUCAGUUACAAUCUGAUUUAUGGUAAUGUCAAAUAAUCCAGUAUUGGUAUCGUUGAGCUUGUAAGUACACAUUGCCUAUCAAAAGUAAAAUUAUAUUUUAACCUUGUAUAAAAAAAUAGAUUAGUCAAUUAAAUUUGUAUGUUAUGAU